rnacentral:rRNA from 1 species
GAUGAACGCUGGCGGCGUGCCUAAUACAUGCAAGUCGAGCGAACAGACGAGGAGCUUGCUCCUCUGACGUUAGCGGCGGACGGGUGAGUAACACGUGGAUAACCUACCUAUAAGACUGGGAUAACUUCGGGAAACCGGAGCUAAUACCGGAUAAUAUAUUGAACCGCAUGGUUCAAUAGUGAAAGACGGUUUUGCUGUCACUUAUAGAUGGAUCCGCGCCGCAUUAGCUAGUUGGUAAGGUAACGGCUUACCAAGGCAACGAUGCGUAGCCGACCUGAGAGGGGGAUCGGCCACACUGGAACUGAGGCACGGUCCAGACUCCUACGGGAGGCAGCAGUAGGGAAUCUUCCGCAAUGGGCGAAAGCCUGACGGAGCAACGCCGCGUGAGUGAUGAAGGUCUUCGGAUCGUAAAACUCUGUUAUUAGGGAAGAACAAAUGUGUAAGUAACUAUGCACGUCUUGACGGUACCUAAUCAGAAAGCCACGGCUAACUACGUG